rnacentral:rRNA from 1 species
AGCGAACGCUGGCGGCAGGCUUAACACAUGCAAGUCGAGCGGGCAUCCUUGUGGUGUCAGCGGCAGACGGGUGAGUAACGCGUGGGAACGUGCCCUUCGGUUCGGAAUAACUCAGGGAAACUUGAGCUAAUACCGGAUACGUGCGAGAGCAGAAAGGUUUAUCUGCCGAAGGAUCGGCCCGCGUCUGAUUAGCUAGUUGGUGAGGUUACGGCUCACCAAGGCGACGAUCAGUAGCUGGUCUGAGAGGAUGAUCAGCCACACUGGGACUGAGACACGGCCCAGACUCCUACGGGAGGCAGCAGUGGGGAAUAUUGGACAAUGGGGGCAACCCUGAUCCAGCCAUGCCGCGUGAGUGGUGACGGCCUUAGGGUUGUAAAGCUCUUUUCUCCGGGACGAUAAUGACGGUACCGGAGGAAUAAGCCCCGGCUAACUUCGUG